UACGUAGGGGGCAAGCGUUGUCCGGAAUUAUUGGGCGUAAAGCGCGCGCAGGCGGCCUUGUAAGUCUGUUGUUUAAACUCGGGGCUCAACCCCGAGUCGCAAUGGAAACUGCAAAGCUUGAGUACAGAAGAGGAAAGUGGAAUUCCACGUGUAGCGGUGAAAUGCGUAGAGAUGUGGAGGAACACCAGUGGCGAAGGCGGCUUUCUGGUCUGUAACUGACGCUGAGGCGCGAAAGCGUGGGGAGCAAACAGG
rnacentral:rRNA from 1 species